GCCUCGCCUCCGACACGUCCCCCGGGCGCCACUGCAGAGCCUGUCCGUCAGUCCCUAGGUAUCCGCACUGCUCAGGGUUUUGUUGCUGUUGUUGAAGACACCAGCUACUCUUUGUUGAACAGUUUACUUCAGUCUGGACUUUGAAAGUAGACCUCAAGGAAGUCAGGGAAUGAGCCAUGUGUGCAUCUGUGGGAGGAGGAUUCCAGGCACAGUGAAGCGCAAUGGUGAAAACCUGGAAAGGCAAAUUGAUUGCCUUCCUGUGGUAUCAUUUAAUAUGGGGGUACCAGUCCAUGGCCUGUUAGGAACCAGAACACACAGCAGGAUGUGAGCAGCGGGAGGAUUCCCUGGGAGCACCCACCAGCUGAGAUCUGCACAUCAGCCACAAUCCUCUCAGGACGGCGGAAAGGGAAGGGCUCAGCCGCCAGCCUGGCCACAGCCUGCAUCAUCUCAUCCCAGAGGCGGAGCACAGGCUCGGGGUCCUUCAGGGCCUGAAGGUUUGUGGUUGGCACUGUCAGGAUGAUGUUGUCCGUGGCCAGCUCUCCCCAGGGAGCCAGGUUCUCCUGCAUCUGCCUCUUCCACUCCUCCAGCGAUGUCUUACCUGGGAAUAAAUAUCAUGGAACCUACCACACCCACUUCUCCAACUUCCCUUGAGCUGAAAAAUACCAUUUGAACUCUGGAAGAACAUUGCAAUAAUGAACUACUAUCACAGGCGUCUAUAGGCUGUAAAGUGAAGAAAAGGCUUCCUGACUCUUCUCUUUGUCUGCCCUGAAGUCUCCAUGGACACAGGGUAUUCCGUAUCUUCUGCCUCCAUGUUCCCUCCCAACAGUUCUUCCUCUUUCUCUCCACCAAAGCUCAUCCCUCUCCCAUUUAGCAACCACCCCACAGUUCCCACGGCAUCUGCCACUCUUCCUCCUCCCUAAAUGUUCACUCCACUUACCCAGCUUGUAGUAUGGGGCAGGCACAGCUCCCCUGAUAGUGACAGGCACAGGGCCUAGUUGGCUGCCCUUGGGCACGAUGACGUAGAGGAGGCCGCCCCAGAGGCAGGAGACUGACCGCUCAGUCCUGUCCAUCCAGCAUUGGUGAGUCACCACGGGGGCUCGAGAUAGCUUCCUGGCCUUGGUAAGGUCAUCGGUGUGGCAGCCAAUCUGUACCUGGACAGGUGAUUCCACCAAGCGUUGGAGAAAUUAGAGUCUUUGUGAUGCUUUGUGAUGUGCGUGUGAGGUUGUGUAGAUGGAAGGUAUUAGACAAACAUGCCCAUGAAACCCCAGCUUCCCUUUUCUAUGUGCUAGGCAUGGAAACUUAUGAAAUUUUAGCACUCCAAAGUCAUUUGGACUUCAAGGCAUUUAAAAUCAUUUUUCUAAGGAUUUAAACAGCUCCACUAUAAGUCUUCACCUGACAUGAAUUGGUGAGAGACCAGGCUGAUCCUGGCAAAGGUCUUGUGUCUUUCUGCCAGGCAAAAUCCUGGGUUCUUCUAGCAGGACCUAAGCCAGUCUGGGGACGCUGAUAUUGAGGAUGAGCUGGGGGACUCUGCUCUGUCCUCUGUGAACACACAGGAGGCCCAUCCAGAGUGAGUGAGGUUGAUUCUCUCUCCCUCUUUGCCCAGAGCUUCCCUUUCUGGCCGCCAGAUGGGUGGAGAUCUGUUUUGUCUGGAGUCCUGGAGUUGCUUUUCUUAGGUUUGAUAUAAGCAAGCUCCAGAAAGAAUGCUGACAGAAAAGGGACCCUAGCUGUGGUAGGAAGUGGCCCUCAGAGUCAAGGAGGCAGGAUGAAUUUAAAUUCUGCAUGUAGGGCAUAUUUUGGGGAGUGAUGGGAUUAUGCACACCCUUCAGGUGUCAAGAUAAAGAGAUAAAACCAGAGUUUGUGCAGAAUGAGCUUGCUGACACACAGCCUAAAUUUGUACCGCAUGUUUCAUACUAACUCCCUCUGAGUUUGCACAUGGGACCCAUGAGGAGGCAUGAAGAGGUAACUGCCCAUGCCCGAGGAUUUUCCAGCCCUUCCUUUUCUUUCUAUCAAUCACCUACUAAUCACAGAAUCCACUCCCUACACCUUUUCUACUAAAAUAACUCUUUAAAAUAAGUACAAUGGGACAGAUUUGAGCUGGGCUCCUGUCUCCUUGUUAAUCAAAUUGCAAUAAAAUGUUUUCUUUUGUU
rnacentral:lncRNA from 1 species